rnacentral:lncRNA from 1 species
CAGAACAAAGUCUGGCUCUCUAGUUAAAUGGGGGAAACCUGAAUACAAGAUACAUUUUCCACACUGUAAACUGAACCUAAUUUCAGAUGUCCAGUCCUCUGCCUACCUCUGAGGUUCACCUUAACUUUUCUUAUCCAUGAUGGUUGUAAUUUGCAAUCAAACAUAUGUGAUGAAUUGCAAAUUCAAACAUUUUUAAUUUACUCUGUUCUUCUUAAAAAGUUAGCCUUACAAUGAAGAAAAUAAUAAAUAGCUAAAGCUCUAAAAUGGGAAAAAUUCCAUGGGAUUAUGGAUGAUCAGAAGAAGAUGCUGGCUGUCUAGACAGAAGCUGCAUAGAGAUAGUGAUGAUGCUAAUGAAGAGGUUAGUGGAGAAGAUUCUGUUGUUUAGCAUUUUCAGAGCUUAAAAAAUAUGCUGUUAACACACAUUUCCUCACUUGAUUCUCAUAAUAACGAUGGAGAAAGCUACCCUUUACCCUCCUCAAAAUAUAAAAACAGAUCCAGUUUGCCUAGCUGCACCGCCAGAAAGCUUAGAACUCCUGUUCUCCAAGGCCGAUGGUCUCAUUUUUCCCCAGAUGCCCCCUUCCAAGGGAAGGACAAGGCAUGUGUCCUCAUCACUUGUCUCUAAUUUCAGUGAUUAAUCAGCACCCCACACUCAGAUGAUACUAAGCAAGUUUUUUUGUUUGUUUGUUAUUGUUUUUAUUGUGGCGCCAAUUUAGAUAGAGUGUGUAUCUGACUUACAUAGGCUUUGCCUGGGGGACUCCACAGUCAUAAGAAAUAGAACCUGGAAUUCCUUUGGCUGCUCUGCAUAUGCAAUCCCUUCAUCAAACUGACCUAUAGGGAGCUUUCUUACUCAUAUACCUCUUCUGGAGUCAGCUGGGUCCAGCAGCUCACAAGCCCAGAGGUUAAAUAACCCCACCACCUGCUUUAUGACUGACAGAUCAUAGAGGGAGUAACUCCUCAAUAAGGGGCCUUAGUCAUAGACCCUGAUUUUCAAGCUAAGAAAUUCUCAUUUCAUAGGACAGUCGAAAGCUACGUGGCUUCCUGGUAGGAGAUGUGAGUAAGUUGAAUGUUGCAGCAUUAUUCAGCAUGAUGAUUAUCAUGGACUUACAGCUGUUGCUUGCACAAACCAUAUUACACACACUCGGAGUACUCUCUUGAAUGAGAAUCUGAAACCCCGAUCCCUCCUGUUCCCUCGUUUUCUGUUUCUGUAGUAAUGUCAGUUGAAGCUGACAUCCUCUCUGAGUCCAUAUCUGAUGUGUUCCAAGUGAUAUCCUCACUUGCUUGUCCUGUCGGCUCUAAGCUUUAAAUUUGGAAGGUUUUCAAUGGCUCUUGUUGGCAGGAAAAAAUGAACGAUGAGAUGUAGAGAGAGACUUGCUAAUACAGCCAAAUUUCAGUCACGUAAGUUGUCAAUACUAAUGAACGCCCUUGAAGCAGAUACUGUAAAUGCCUGAAGUUGCAGUGGAGCUGCGUUUGAGUUCAGAUCAUUUGGUAGAACAGACAUCUCCCCUCUAAAUACUGAAGAGCCAGUGUUUAGACCCUGGUUAUAGAGCUCAUUUUACCAGGGUCAUAUAUUAGAACACCCUGAUUGCUGGUAGGCUUCACAUUCCCUCGUCUGCGGAGAGUCUGACUUUAGUUUUAUUCCUAAAUCAUAUAAAUGAGAUACAGUAGAUUCUUCUAACACUUCCCUUCUGUGCUUUGGCAUCAUAAAGCCUCAUUAAUAUCGUGUAAUUGUCAAUAGCACCAGAUCUAGAGUUAAACAGGAAUGGGUUCAGGUAUCCAGCCACUUAAUUAAGCUCCCUAAAUCUGUUUCCUCAUCUGUAUAAUGGGGGUGAUACUAAAAUGAUGAACCCCACAGG